UUUUAAUUUUAAUUAUUUUCUAAUUUUUCAUUGUCCGUACUUGAUUACUUAAGAGUAACAUUAUUUUAAAAGCAUGCAGUCCAAAAGUUCAGACAUCUGAGAAAUACAACAAGCAAAUUAACCUUCUAUUUUUGCAUCUGCAGAAAAUGUCUCAAGAACCAGACGUAAAUAAGGAUUGCAAUAGAGAGGCUGAAGAAGAAAUGCAGAGGCAUGGAAGUAAUAACGUGGGAAUAUCAGUAAACCUGACUGAUGGUGCUGCUGCUGGCAAUGGUGAUGAUGGAUUAAUUCCACAAAGAAAGAGCAGAAAACCUGAAAAUCAGCAAUUUCCUAGCACAGAGAAUGAAGAAUAUCAUAGGCCUGAAAAGAAAUUUAAUGAAAAGAACAAGGUCAAAAGUGAAAUACAUUCAGUGGAUGACCUGGAUGACAUAACGUGGCCAUCUGAAAUAGCCUCAGAGGAUUAUGAUUUGCUUUACCCUAAUUAUGAGACUUUUAUGUUGCUCGCUGAACAACACAAAAUGGAUUUUAACGGUUCUACUAGCCUAUCAAAAAUCCAGGAUGCAGUUCUUUCAGAUGAAUAUUUAUUAGAACUUAAAAAUAAUCACCGUGAACAACUUACAGUAGAAAUUGAAAAAAUGGAAAAUAUGAUUCAUGUACUACAAAAGAAGCUGUCUGAAGCAAAAGAAACACAAUUACAGUUAGAGCAUGAAAAAGAUGAAUGGGAGCAAGAACUCUCUGCUUUGAGAUUGACCUUAAAACGAGAAGAAGAAAAGAGAAAGGAUGCUGAGAUGUUGUAUAAAAAAGGUAGUGAAGAGUUAGAAAGAAAAGAAGAGGAAUAUAGGAAAGAUGUUGAAAUGAACCAACAACUGAAACGGACUCUGAAAAUACGAGCCAUGGAAUUGGGGACACUAAGAAAGAAUUUGGAUCAGGUAAAUUUCUGAUGAAAACUUUAUAUUUCAUCAAUAUUACUUAUAUUGCUUUGAUUUAAUGUAGUAUGCUAUUUAGGUGUAAACACACCAAAGCUGUUAACUAAUUUUUAAAAUGAACUAUG
rnacentral:lncRNA from 1 species